rnacentral:rRNA from 1 species
UGAGUAACACGUGAGUGACCUGCCUUUUAGACUGGAACAACUUACCGAAAGGUGAGCUAAUGCCGGAUGAGUUAUAUAAGUGCAUGUUUAUAUAGGAAAAGUUGGGGAGACCUGACGCUGAAAGAUGGACUCGCGUCCCAUUAGCUAGUUGGUAGGGUAAUGGCCUACCAAGGCGACGAUGGGUAGCCGGCCUGAGAGGGUGGCCGGCCACACUGGGACUGGGACACGGCCCAGACUCCUACGGGAGGCAGCAG